AUUGAACGCUGGCGGCAUGCCUUACACAUGCAAGUCGAACGGCAGCACGGGAGCAAUCCUGGUGGCGAGUGGCGAACGGGUGAGUAAUAUAUCGGAACGUGCCCAGUCGUGGGGAUAACGUAGCGAAAGCUACGCUAAUACCGCAUACGAUCUAUGGAUGAAAGCGGGGGAUCGCAAGACCUCGCGCGAUUGGAGCGGCCGAUAUCAGAUUAGGUAGUUGGUGAGGUAAAGGCUCACCAAGCCGACGAUCUGUAGCUGGUCUGAGAGGACGACCAGCCACACUGGGACUGAGACACGGCCCAGACUCCUACGGAGGCAGCAGUGGGGAAUUUUGGACAAUGGGCGCAAGCCUGAUCCAGCAAUGCCGCGUGCAGGAUGAAGGCCUCGG
rnacentral:rRNA from 1 species